rnacentral:rRNA from 1 species
GAUGAACGCUGGCGGCGUGCCUAAUACAUGCAAGUCGAGCGAACAGACGAGGAGCUUGCUCCUCUGACGUUAGCGGCGGACGGGUGAGUAACACGUGGAUAACCUACCUAUAAGACUGGGAUAACUUCGGGAAACCGGAGCUAAUACCGGAUAAUAUAUUGAACCGCAUGGUUCAAUAGUGAAAGACGGUUUUGCUGUCUCUUAUAGAUGGAUCCGCGCUGCAUUAGCUAGUUGGUAAGGUAACGGCUUACCAAGGCAACGAUGCGUAGCCGACCUGAGAGGGUGGUCGGCCACACUGGAACGGAGACACGGUCCAGGCUCCUACGGUAGGCAGCAGUAGGGAAUCUUCCGCAAUGGGCGAAAGCCUGACGGAGCAACGCCGCGUGAGUGAUGAAGGUCUUCGGAUCGUAAAACUCUGUUAUUGGGGAAGAACAAAUGUGUAAGUAACUAUGCACGUCUUGACGGUACCUAAUCAGAAAGCCACGGCUAACUACGUG